rnacentral:misc_RNA from 1 species
GUGAUAUCAGGUGAAUCGUGGAUGUAAUUUCAAGUGACUUUGAGACGAGAUGUGAUUUGUGUUUUUUCGGACAAUCGCGCGAGUGACUUUUGCUAAAAUUUAAAGGACUCUGAAUCUGAAGACGUUAGAACAAUGCCUGCAGUAUGCUGUUGCCUGAUGAAACCUACGAACAAAAUGCUGUAUUCACGGGGCAUAUCUUGGCAAUGCUUCGGAUGUAUGACGACUUUCUGUACCACUACAGGAUACGGCCUGAGUUUUUUUGCAGAUAUAAAGAAAAGCAGGCUUUGCAGAAGAGAUUAACCCGCGCUCUAACUGCCUCACGUAAUAAACAAGCUAGCUCUAAAUGCAGGGAUGCAUCAUCCUCAAAUGAGGCAGUUCACUUACAGCAGCGUCUUCGAAGUCUAAGCACUGAGCUUGUAACGCUAAGAAACCGGCUCCAUGUCCAAGGAGGACAGCCGGCCACCGUAAAAGGCGGUGGCGGACCUAUUCCUCCCCUUGCACCUGUCUCGACUGCACCACAGCCAGCAGUACCACCAAGGUCUGCACACAACAACGUACCUGCACCAAUAGGCUCUGUAACUCAACAACAACGACCUCAGGCGCCUUCCAGCGGUUCCUCGUCGAACCUCGAAGAUCUAAUCCAUCUUCAUGGACCGCUCACUGAAGAUGCAGUCAUGAAAUGUUUACAAGCGCGAUUUCAAGCAUCCAACUUUUACACAAACGUUGGUCCGAUUCUGCUGUGUGUAAAUCCGUACAAAGAGGUCGGCAAUCCGUUGACACUGAGCAGUACAAGGGGAAUAGCGUUAAGUCCACAAUUAAAUAAGGUUGUCCAGGAGGCCGUUCGACAGCAAUCCGAAACUGGAUAUCCUCAAGCCAUAAUCUUAUCAGGAACCAGUGGUUCUGGCAAAAGCCAUGUUUCUAUGUUACUAUUGCGACAACUGUUUGCCGUAGCAGGGGGAGGUCCAGAGACUGACGCGUUUAAGCAUUUGGCUGCUGCUUUUACAGUAUUACGUUCCUUAGGGUCUGCGAAGACUAUGACCAAUUCGGAAUCUAGUCGAAUUGGUCAGUUCAUAGAAGUUCAGGUAACUGAUGGAGCCUUAUACCGCACGAAAAUUCACUGUUACUUUUUGGACCAAACUAGAGUGAUACGACCAUUACCAGGUGAAAAAAAUUACCAUAUCUUUUACCAAAUGCUCGCUGGGUUAUCGACUGAGGAGCGGACUAAACUUAAUCUAGAAGCACAAACAAUAACGUCGUUAAGGUAUCUCCAGUAUGGAGAUACACGGCAGGACACUAUUGAAGAUUCGAAUAGGUUUCAAGCUUGGAAAAACUGUUUAGGAAUCUUGGGCAUACCAUUCCUGGACGUUGUAAGGGUCCUAGCAGCAGUUCUUCUUCUGGGAAAUGUGCAAUUUAUGGACGGAAAAGGUCUGGAAGUCGACGUCAAAGGCGAAGCCGAACUAAACGCCGUCGCUGGACUAUUAGGAGUCUCAGGUGGCGCCCUUUUCCGAGGCCUCACUUCCCGCACUCACAACGCUAGAGGCCAGCUCGUGAAAUCCGUGUGUGAUGCCAAUAUGUCAAACAUGACAAGAGACUGUCUCGCGAAAGCUUUAUAUUGUCGUACUGUAGCUACCAUAGUUCGUAGAGCUAAUAGUCUUAAGAGGUUAGGAUCUACAUUAGGAACUUUAAGUUCCGACUCGAAUGAAUCGGUUCAUAACCAAGCGGAAGUGACGAGCCAGCAUGCUUCUACUAUAGGUGGGAGUACUAACGCAGGAAGUAAGUCAAUGGCAGCAUUAAACAACGCCAUUAGACACGCGACUGAUGGGUUUAUAGGAAUACUUGAUAUGUUUGGUUUUGAAGAACCAAAACCAAGCCAGCUAGAACACCUUUGUAUUAACCUAUGUGCAGAAACUAUGCAGCACUUUUACAAUACUCAUAUAUUCAAGUCUAGCAUAGAAUCUUGCAGAGAUGAAGGCAUCAAUUGUGAAGUAGAAGUAGACUAUGUAGACAACGUACCAUGCAUUGAUUUAGUCUCAUCUUUGCGAACUGGUUUGUUAAGUAUGCUUGAUGUUGAAUGUUCUAUCCGUGGUACAGCCGAGUCGUAUGUGUCAAAGAUAAAAGUUCAACACAAAAAUAAUUCUAGACUGUUCGAUCCGAAACCGAUUGAUCCAAGAUUGUUUUGCAUCCAACAUUUUGCUGGUAAAGUUGUAUAUGACGCCACAGAUUUCCUGGAUACCAAUAAAGAUGUUAUUCCAGACGAUCUGGUAGCUGUGUUUUAUAAACAUAGUUGCAAUUUUGGUUUUGCGACGCACUUAUUUGGAAGCGAGCUCAAAGCUUUAUAUUCCGUGGAAACUGUUCCUAGAGGAGUCAGUUUCCGAAUAUCUCCUACUUCUCAUACAGAUCUUUUAAAUGGAGAUGAACCAGUGUCGACUUUAACACAAGACUUCCACACUCGUCUGGAUAACUUAUUGCGCACUCUGGUACACGCAAGGCCACACUUUGUCCGCUGUAUUUGCAGUAACUCACAAGAAGCAGCCAACAGGUUCGAAAGAGGUAUAGUAGUACGACAAAUCAGGUCUCUACAAGUGCUAGAAACUGUUAAUUUGAUGGCAGGUGGUUAUCCCCAUAGAAUGAGGUUUAAAGCUUUUAAUAUGAGGUAUCGAUGUCUAGCACCGUUUGCUAAACUGAACAGAACUGAAGAAAAAGUAACAGACGAUUGUAAUUUAAUUCUUCAGUACGUCAUGGACUCAAUAGGUAAACAACAAAGUCUUGUGUCUACAAGUUACGCUAUGGGAAAGAGGCAUAUCUUUUUAAGCGAAGGAAUAAGGCAGCAGCUUGAAAAGCUGAGGUCUGAAACUCGACAGAAAGCAGCUACCUUAAUUCAGUCUUGUUGGAGAGGUUGGCAUUGUCGAUAUAGAAUGUCAGCUAUUCGUCGAGAAAAAACUGUCAAUCAACCACCAGUAUCUAGGACAGCAAUCGGAGGAACACGACCAAGGCCUCAACCCAUCGCUGGUACUCCACCACCCGAUCCUAAUGAGAAAUGCGACGCGAAAAUCAUCCAACAAACUUGCAAUCUCUUUGGACUGGAUUUGGAGAGGCCUCCCCCUGUUCCUCCGAGUAGAUCGUACACAGUAACAGGAAAUACCAAGUUGGGUUACCCGCAAACCAGAGUCAUGAAAAUGACGUAUCCUGAAGAUACUACUACUGGCGACGAUGGUCCAGUUUUACUGAAAGGAGAGACUGUAUUAGUAGUAGGAGCUUCACAUCGUAGAGGUCAUUUAAUCGUUGAACAUAAACAUUGUACGCUUCAUGUGCCCUUUCAGUUUUUGGAACUGAAACAAAGUGUUAAUAUUUAAUCUUGCCAUUUGUCUUCCGCGGUCACUCUAUGGGUGCCACUAUAGUAUGCGAUUUAUCCCGAGGAUGCGGUCUACCUGUGCGUAAUAUUAUAGUGUGCGGUCUACUGAUAUCAAUUUGAAAAUUUCUGAAGGGUUUGUGCAAGAUAGUGAAAUGUAGGAAAACUCUUGUAGAAAAAAAUAUUUAUUCACAAGUAAUAAACAUUUGCAGGAAAAUAAAUAAUGUAAAAUGAAAGAGGACUCUAAUAGUUUACAAACAAAAUGCAAUCCAACUAGCUACUUACAAAAAGAAUUAUGUAUAACCUAAUUAUUUAAAAACAAUACAGCUUAAUUAUUAUUAAGAUGAUGGGUACGCAUUUUCGGCUGAAAUGCUAUUCAAGUGGGGAUUCAUUUUUUUCGAAUCCUGAGAAAACUUAUAAGUAUUUUUGAAAAAUUUAAACGCAGAAUGAAAGAUUACGUUAUUAGUGAGGGCCGAAGUUCCUGAGAACUUCUAUAAUGUUUAUUUUAAUAAGUUACAGAAAUGAAAAACUAAGAGAAAAUUUAGUGUGAUUUUUAAUUUCAAAUAUCUCAUUCAAAAUAAACUUUUUAUUUCUUCUAAGGGACUUCAGGCCCUCAGUAAUAAUUAAGUCUUUCAUUCUGCGUUUAAAUUUUUUAAAAGUAUAUAUUAGUUUUUCAGGAUUCGAAAAAAAUGGACACCAUGUCCGUGGUAAUAUUUUCCAAAUCUAUCUUUGUCUUACAACGCACUCAGUCGAAUAGAAUAUUGUCAGCAUAUUGUUAGUCAGACAUUGACCAUCAGUGACAAUUUUAAAUAUUUGACAUGGCAUCGAGAAUAUUUUGAGUUGUUGAUUAAAUAAUAUACAUAUAUAGUGUAUUUGAUAAAUAAUUGAUUUAUGACGUGAACUUAAUAAAACGUUAUUUAUUGUGUAUUAUUUGUGGAAGAUCCAAGCAGAGAAUACAUCAGGAUAAUAUAUUCUGUGAUCCAAGUAUUUUGUUGUUAAAGAUGUUCAAAAUUGUAAGCGUUCCAUAGUAACAAUAUAUUAUUAAAAAAUAACUUAACACUUUUUCUCUUUUCUCGAUUGAGUAUUAGUUUUUGUUGUACAUAUAAAUUAUUACAAUCACUGAAUACAUAGUGAAAAAAUUAUCACACUUAUUAACUGAAUUAAUAAUUUGCAAUUAUACAAAUAACAGUUAUCCAAGAACAUUGAAAAGCCAUCUCGUUAAGUUAAUGAUGACAUUUUCAAGUAGAAUGACAUUCUAGUAAUGUUUACAUAUCCAUACCAGUGUGAAUUUUACUACACGUAAUUUGCCGUGUAAAGACAGAAAAAGUAGGGAUAGCCGUAAAAUAUUUGCGAAUUAUUUACCCAUGGCCUUAAAGAAGAAAUUCAUGCACCUUAAUUUAAGAUGUGAAUUAUUCUAGCUUAAAAACGUCAUGUCGGCAUCAUAACCAAGAAUUAAAAAAAAUACCCUAUCUAUUCGCAAAAUUAAAUUUCGACAGGGCGCUCAAAAUUUCAAAGAUGGACGAUAACUCUAGGAAAACAAUUCAUUUUGUCAUUUGGCGUCACAGUUCUAAAACGUUAAAUCAAAAUCAUUUACACGAGUGUUUUGCCUAAGUAACCACUAAGUUUUGCCAUUAAGACAUCUUAUAGAUUAAAGACGACUCAAAAUUAUGUUUCACCUGUAUGCAUUUAUUAAAAUUUGAUGCUAACUACUGAUUUGAUUUUACCUUUUUUCAUAAAAAUAUCUGGCCCUUCGAUAAUCACACAGCGUUUUAAAAAUUAUUAAUCUAUAUUAGAAUUUCUAAUUUUGUUUUUAAUUUAGUUAAUAGGUACACUACAAUUUAUUUUACACCAACAGAUAACCAUUUUUAAUUAAAUAAAAACUGGAAACUAAGUAGGUGAAUUUAUUUUAUAAUAAUUAUUGUGUUCUGGAAAUUAUGAGGUGGUCGGAAUAUUUUGCAUAACUGUGUACAUUCUAUGUACAGAAUAUAUACUACAUUUUAUUUAUUUAUUUAGUUUUGCAGUCGCUUAAACAUUAAAAAAUACUACGUUUAGUACAAACGCUAAAUUAACAAAAUGUGUGAUUUCGCAUUGGUUAAUUUACGUCAUUACGUAGAGUACAAUAGGAAUGAAUACUGAGGAACACUGCAAUAGUUUUUUUUAAGUCGAAAUCAAUGUUAAUUACAAGAUAAACUGACCGCAAAUAUGUACACAAAUUAAUGACAAAGUCAAUGUUUUCCUAGAGUUGAUGCUUGUCAAAUUCGCCACCAGACUUCGCCCCUUUUGCGGUUCCUCGCCAAUAUACAGCCUACAUACGGUUUGUUGCCUUUCAAUAUUGUGUGCAAACCCUUCUAAGAAAAUAUUAUCGUGUCAUUUAGUCACAUGUAGACCGCAAGCUAUAGAAGAAACCCGAUGGUAGACCGCAUACAUAGUGGCACCACUUUAUGACAGGUACUGAUAUAUUCGCUUUUAAGGUUAUUCUAUUUAAUUGAAAACAUGUAUAUUUCGUAAUUAUACACUGAACAGUAUUUUUAUAUAAGAAUCGACUUACAUGGUGCACUAUAGUACGUAGUCUGUAUAGUAGACGAGGAAUUAUUUGGUACCAACAUUUUGAUGUUAAAUUAUUUAAUGAUAAGUUGGGGACAGUUAAUAUUUUUGCAAAAAUAAGUUUAAAACUUAAAAACAAUCAUUUAUCUUCUACUUAUGGUGCCUAUCCAAUCCAUACAUUUGUCCAUACUUAUGUUAGACAUUAACCCGGCUAUUUUGACUUUAUUAACAGUUCCCCUAAAAAGUCCGGUAGUUGCCAAGUUAAACCAUUUUUGUAAGUUAUGAAGCCAAUCAUUUAGAGUUGUUUGAAAUGUUAUAUAAUAAGUACAAUUUUUUAUUUGCUUUCUCCUACUUUCGUCGUCUCUUGUGAUUAUAUAUUAUAAAAUCCGGAGAUACGGAAUGCAGCCAGAAAGCAGUUUAUUAACGAAAAGUCUGAGAUUUAAAAUAUUGUUUAUUAUAUUUUUAUUUCAAUUAUUCUAAUUGUUUAAAAGGUAGUAAACUUUGUAUCUGGGGAUUUUCGUUGUUUUCCUCGUAAUACGAGAGAUGUCGCUAAAUUGCGUCUCAGAGGUGGGUUCAUUGCAUUGCGAUGGUUUGCCUUAAAUUGGCAGAAUUGUUUGUAUUUCCUUCAGAGUUGAGACUUCUGAGCUUCACUGAUGAGGCAUAAGGAUGCUGAAAUAGCUAUAUGGAGAUGGUGGUCCAACUCUGAAUCAAAUAUAAACAAAACCUGCCUUGAUCUUUUUUAUCUUUUUCAUUUUUACUCAGUUUGAGUAUUUAGAAACUGUCCUUCGGUCCUUUUCCUUGACGAAGGGAAGGUAAAUGCGUGGCCUAAGCGUCCUCUAUUUGCUUUCUCCUACUUUCGUCGUCUCUUGUGAUUAUAUAUUGUAAAAUCCGGAGAUACGGGAUGCAGCCAGAAAGCAGUUUAUUAACGAAAAGUCUUAGAUUUAAAAUAUUGUUUAUUAUAUUUUUAUUUCAAUUAUUCUAAUUGUUUAAAAGGUAGUAAACUUUGUAUCUGGGGCUUUUCGUUGUUUUCCUCGUAAUACGAGAGAUGUCGCUAAAUUGCGUCUCAGAGGUGGGUUCAUUGCAUUGCGAUGGUUUGCCUUAAAUUGGCAGAAUUGUUUGUAUUUCCUUCAGAGUUGAGACUUCUGAGCUUCACCGAUGAGGCAUAAGGAUGCUGAAAUAGCUAUAUGGAGAUGGUGGUCCAACUCUGAAUCAAAUAUAAACAGAACCUGCCUUGAUCUUUUUUAUCUUUUUCAUUUUUACUCAGUUUGAGUAUUUAGAAACUGUCUUUCGGUCCUUUUCCUUGACGAAGGGAAGGUAAAUGCGUGGCCUAAGCGUCCUCUAUUUGCUUUCUCCUACUUUCGUCGUUUCUUGUGAUUAUAUAUUGUAAAAUCCGGAGAUAUGGGAUGCAGCCAGAAAGCAGUUUAUUAACGAAAAGUCUUAGAUUUAAAAUAUUGUUUAUUAUAUUUUUAUUUCAAUUAUUCUAAUUGUUUAAAAGGUAGUAAACUUUGUAUCUGGGGCUUUUCGUUGUUUUCCUCGUAAUACGAGAGAUGUCGCUAAAUUGCGUCUCAGAGGUGGGUUCAUUGCAUUGCGAUGGUUUGCCUUAAAUUGGCAGAAUUGUUUGUAUUUCCUUCAGAGUUGAGACUUCUGAGCUUCACUGAUGAGGCAUAAGGAUGCUGAAAUAGCUAUAUGGAGAUGGUGGUCCAACACUGAAUCAAAUAUAAACAAAACCUGCCUUGAUCUUUUUUUAUCUUUUACAAUUUUUUACUUUGUGGACCCGUAUAUCUCAGGGGGUAGCAUGUCGUGACUUCCACGCAGUUAGGCUAGGGUUCGAAACCCAGCACCAGCGAGAACAUCUAGACAUUUUUAAAUGUUUAUAGUGCCCAAGUCGACUCCGCCUGAAUAAAAUGAGUACCUUGGGUAAAACCAGGGGUAAUAAUAGGCAGUUGAAGCGUAGCACUGGCCCUGUUAAUACCUUUCUUGUAUACCGUAGGCGCUAGAUAUAACAGACUACCCUUCUAUAAUCCCAAAGCCACGUUAGCGGUAUGAAACGGGAGACUAUUCUUAUUACAAUGUUUUAGCAAAAAAUCAGACGGCUAUAGCCGCUACUCUCGCCCUAGACAUGUACUUAUGUACUUUAUAGCACUUACAAGGCGGUUUAUAUCGUACAAAAUAAAUUUACAAGUUUUUAACCCUUUAAUGCGCAGAACUCAUUGUUCUUAAGACGAACAUUUUCGAAAAAUUUGAAAUCAAAUUAAAUAAAUAAGGUGCCUGAUAGAAAAAACGGAAAUUAUCUUCAAACUUUUCUUUUAUGGGGUGGUAAAUAUUGCUAUUACUGGGCUUUUGACUGGGCUUGAAUGGUAUAGCUGUAGCAACAACGAAUUGUUUCGGUCAGCAGUUUCGAAAAUACGUAUAGCCCUGAUGAUCGCCAACCUUCGGAACGAAGAUGGCACUUGAAGAAGAAGACUGGGCUUUUGAGCACUUACCAUAGUUCAGUUGGUUAAUUUUUGGCUCGAAGGACCAAUGUUUAUGUAGGAAGUCUAACUGUAGGCUUUGUAGAGGGUGAAUUCGAUUGUGAGGAAAUAUUUAAAGAAGACGACGAAUCCUUAAAUAAAAAAUAAUUGUUGGUGAAUUGUGCUCGGUAGAAUCCCUGAUCAGUAGGGAUGGCGGUUAUUGACAAAACACCGGUUUUCAGUUAUACCGGAUUUUUUACUUACGGUUAUAACCGCCUGCUUCUAUCCUAUUCUGUGGCCUUGUCUAGAAGUAUAAAUAGACAAUUUCGUUUGUAUACAACCGGCAACAUUGCAUUUUAGUAACAGAACAACAUAAUCAAAAGUUAUAUUGGCGGACAUGGAUAUCAAAAUUGCCGACAGCGUUCUGGAUAAAGUUAAAUUAAUAUAAAAAUGUUAAAAAUUUGGUACCAAAAGUUCUUGUGUCUAAUCUUUCGUAUUCAUUGUAUAAAUUGAAAACAAUGGCUCUUAGUGCCAUAUACUAGUACUUAUAUAAAUAAUCGCGACAAUAUAAUGAAAUAUAAUAAAGUUUUUUCAUUUCGUUUUCAAAUUAUAGGUCUUAGCGUUUAAUAUAUCGACAAUAUUAAAUCUAAGAAAAAAUCUAUGGUCUUCGUUUACUUAUGUAAGAAUAUAUUUUAUACAAUUGUACAAAUUAUAAAGUAUUUUAAAUAUAUUUAAUUUCUAUACA